AGUCGAGCGAGACCUUCGGGUCUAGCGGCGGACGGGUUAGUAACGCGUGGGAACGUGCCCUUCUCUGCGGAAUAGCCACUGGAAACGGUGAGUAAUACCGCAUACGCCCUUCGGGGGAAAGAUUUAUCGGAGAAGGAUCGGCCCGCGUUAGAUUAGAUAGUUGGUGGGGUAAUGGCCUACCAAGUCUACGAUCUAUAGCUGGUUUUAGAGGAUGAUCAGCAACACUGGGACUGAGACACGGCCCAGACUCCUACGGGAGGCAGCAGUGGGGAAUCUUAGACAAUGGGCGCAAGCCUGAUCUAGCCAUGCCGCGUGUGUGAUGAAGGUCUUAGGAUCGUAAAGCACUUUCGCCAGGGAUGAUAAUGACAGUACCUGGUAAAGAAACCCCGGCUAACUCCGUGCCAGCAGCCGCGGUAAUACGGAGGGGGUUAGCGUUGUUCGGAAUUACUGGGCGUAAAGCGUACGUAGGCGGAUCAGAAAGUUGGGGGUGAAAUCCCGGGGCUCAACCCCGGAACUGCCUCCAAAACUCCUGGUCUUGAGUUCGAGAGAGGUGAGUGGAAUUCCAAGUGUAGAGGUGAAAUUCGUAGAUAUUUGGAGGAACACCAGUGGCGAAGGCGGCUCACUGGCUCGAUACUGACGCUGAGGUACGAAAGUGUGGGGAGCAAACAGGAUUAGAUACCCUGGUAGUCCACACCGU
rnacentral:rRNA from 1 species